UACGAAGGGGGCUAGCGUUGCUCGGAAUCACUGGGCGUAAAGCGCACGUAGGCGGCUUCUUAAGUCAGGGGUGAAAUCCUGGAGCUCAACUCCAGAACUGCCUUUGAUACUGGGAGGCUCGAGUCCGGGAGAGGUGAGUGGAACUGCGAGUGUAGAGGUGAAAUUCGUAGAUAUUGGGAGGAACACCAGUGGCGAAGGCGGCUCACUGGACCGGUUCUGACGCUGAAGCGCGAAAGCGUGGGGAGCAAACGGG
rnacentral:rRNA from 1 species